rnacentral:rRNA from 1 species
UACGGGGGGGGCAAGCGUUGUUCGGAAUUACUGGGCGUAAAGGGCUCGUAGGUGGCCAACUCAGUCGGACGUGAAAUCCCUCGGCUUAACCGGGGAACUGCGUCCGAUACUGGAUGGCUUGAGAUCGGGAGAGGGAUGCGGAAUUCCAGGUGUAGCGGUGAAAUGCGCAGAUAUCAGGAAGAACACCAAUGGCGAAGGCAGCUCUCUGGGACGGUACUGACGCUGAGACGCGAAAGCGUGGGGAGCGAACAGG